CAUCAGAUCAAUAACGAUGAGAGGUUAGUUGUGACUCACAACGCAAAUAGGUAAACGGUGUCACUGUCAAGAUCUCAUCACUGUAUAAGUAUUUGAGCCAUUUUUAUUAACAAGGUUAAAAUGUACAUUAUCUUAAGUGUUGAUGCCCAUCAGAUCAAUAACGAUGAGAGGUUAGUUGUGACUCACAACGCAAAUAGGUAAACGGUGUCACUGUCAAGAUCUCAUCACUGUAUAAGUAUUUGGACCAAAUUUGGCUUUUCCAGACACACAUUUACCCUCAGACAGAAUUAAGAUUUUCAGGCAUUUCAAAUUUUUUUUGGGGAAUUUUAAGUCAAGUUCCAGGAGUUUAGACUAUAUCUGGACCUUUUUC